GACGUAGGGCGCGAGCGUUGUCCGGAUUUAUUGGGCGUAAAGAGCUCGUAGGCGGCUUGUCGCGUCGACUGUGAAAACCCGCGGCUCAACCGUGGGCUUGCAGCCGAUACGGGCAGGCUAGAGUUCGGUAGGGGAGACUGGAAUUCCUGGUGUAGCGGUGAAAUGCGCAGAUAUCAGGAAGAACACCCGUGGCUAAGGCGGCUCUCUAGUACGGUACUGACGCUGAGACGCGAAAGCGUGGGGAGCGAACAGG
rnacentral:rRNA from 1 species